GCCAGGUGUGGUGGCAUGCACCUGUAAUCCCAGCUACUCAGGAGGCUGAGGCAGGAGAAUCGCUUGAACCCAGGAGGCAGGGGGUGCAGUGAGCUGAGAUUGAGCCACUGCACUCCAACCUAGGCAACAGAGUGAGACUCUGUCUCAA
ensembl:misc_RNA Metazoa_SRP Metazoan signal recognition particle RNA